rnacentral:rRNA from 1 species
GUAGUCCACGCUGUAAACGAUGAAUACUAGGUGUAGGGGGUAUCAACUCCCUCUGUGCCGCAGCAAACGCAAUAAGUAUUCCGCCUGGGGAGUACGGCCGCAAGGUUGAAACUCAAAGGAAUUGACGGGGGCCCGCACAAGCAGCGGAGCAUGUGGUUUAAUUCGACGCAACGCGAAGAACCUUACCAGGGCUUGACAUCCAACUAACGAAGCAGAGAUGCAUUAGGUGCCCUUCGGGGAAAGUUGAGACAGGUGGUGCAUGGUUGUCGUCAGCUCGUGUCGUGAGAUGUUGGGUUAAGUCCCAUAACGAGCGCAACCCUUAUUGUUAGUUACCAUCAUUAAGUUGGGGACUCUAGAGAGACUGCCAUUGAUAAAAUGGAGGAAGGUGGGGAUGACGUCAAAUCAUCAUGCCCUAUAUGACCUGGGCUACAAACGUGCUACAAUGGUGACUACAAAGAGAAGCGAGACCGUAAGGUGGAGCGGAUCUCAAAAAAGUCAUCUCAGUUCGGAUUGUGGGCUGCAACCCGCCCACAUGAAGUUGGAGUUGCUAGUAAUCGCAGAUCAGAAUGCUGCGGUGAAUGCGUUCCCGGGUCUUGUACACACCGCCCGUCACACCACGGAAGUUGGGGGCGCCCGAAGCCGGAUUGCUAACCUUUUGGAAGCGUCCGUCGAAGGUGAAAUCAAUAACUGGGGUG